rnacentral:rRNA from 1 species
AACGUAGGGGACGAGCGUUAUCCGGAUUUACUGGGCGUAAAGCGCAUGUAGGUGGCUUGAAAAGUUGGACGUGAAAGCUCCUGGCUUAACUGGGAGAGGUCGUACAAAACUAGCAAGCUUGAGGUUGGAAGAGGAGAGCAGAAUUCCCGGUGUAGUGGUGGAGUGCGUAGAUAUCGGGAGGAAUACCAGUGGCGAAAGCGGCUCUCUGGUUCAAUACUGACGCUCAUGUGCGAAAGCGUGGGGAGCAAACAGG